rnacentral:rRNA from 1 species
ACAGCCAGGAUGUUGGCUUAGAAGCAGCCAUCAUUUAAAGAAAGCGUAAUAGCUCACUGGUCGAGUCGGCCUGCGCGGAAGAUGUAACGGGGCUAAACCAUGCACCGAAGCUGCGGCAGCGACACUUAUGUGUUGUUGGGUAGGGGAGCGUUCUGUAAGCCGUUGAAGGUGUGCUGUGAGGCAUGCUGGAGGUAUCAGAAGUGCGAAUGCUGACAUAAGUAACGAUAAAGCGGGUGAAAAGCCCGCUCGCCG